GUCCAGACUCCUACGGGAGGCAGCAGUGGGGAAUAUUGCACAAUGGGGGAAACCCUGAUGCAGCAACGCCGCGUGAGUGAAGAAGUAUUUCGGUAUGUAAAGCUCUAUCAGCAGGGAAGAGAAUGACGGUACCUGACUAAGAAGCCCCGGCUAACUACGUGCCAGCAGCCGCGGUAAUACGUAGGGGGCGAGCGUUAUCCGGAUUUACUGGGUGUAAAGGGAGCGUAGACGGUUCUGCAAGUCUGAAGUGAAAGCCCGUGGCUUAACCGCGGAACGGCUUUGGAAACUGUGGAACUGGAGUGCUGGAGAGGCAAGCGGAAUUCCUAGUGUAGCGGUGAAAUGCGUAGAUAUCAGGAGGAACACCGGCGGCGAAGGCGGCCUGCUGGACCGCGACUGACGUUGAGGCUCGAAAGCGUGGGGAGCGAACAGGAUUAGAUACCCGAGUA
rnacentral:rRNA from 1 species